GGGCGACUGAAAUGGGAAGAGCCCAGCGCAUAAGCUCGCUUUGCCUUUUACCGGGCGCGAGCGGUGUUGCGUUUCGGAGGGUCCGGCACGCCGCCUUACGACGCCUAAGUCAUGUUUGAAAGCGGCCACUACCCAUUGAGGGUGAAAGGCCCGUCUGGCGGAGCCCGUGAGGGCAGAAGUGAGGCGGUCGGAAAGGACCUAUCCGUAGAGUCGGGUUGCUUGAAAGUGCAGCCCAAAGCAGGUGGUAAACUCCAUCUAAGGCUAAAUAUGACCACGAGACCGAUAGCGAACAAGUACCGUGAGGGAAAGUUGAAAAGAACUUUGAAGAGAGAGUUCAAGAGUACGUGAAACCGUUAAGAGCCAAACGGAUGGAACCUCGAAGGUCGAACUGAGGGGAUUCAGCUCGUCGGCCGCCGGCACGGGGCGGGUGUUCGUUAACUCGGAGCGACCCGAGAGAGCUCGGGCGUGCUCGCACCCACGCCGGCGCCGGCGGGCGUAUUUCGCCUCAUAGUAGGGCGCCGCGACCCGUUGCUGGGGACGUCGAAGGCCCGGACGGAUUGGUACCCUUCCUCUAACCGGCCCUUUCGGGGCCGGCGGGGCAGGCGAAACCGCCGGUGAUCCUGGCUGCCCUGCGACGGUCGCAGAGACGAGCCCGCCCUCUGCGGGCGGGCUCUCGCGGCGUGCAAAAAGAUCGGUGAUCCAUCCGACCCGUCUUGAAACACGGACCAAGGAGUCUAACAUGUGUGCGAGUCAGUGGGCGCACUAAACCCAAAGGCGCAAUGAAAGUGACAGAGUCCGGCGCGCGCCUCGUCGCGCGUCGGCAGGAGGGCCGAUCCCCUCGCCGGCUGCUUCCUCCUCCUCCUCCUAUCUCCCUUUCGCACCGGCGGCAAGCCCAGGUGGAGCUAGUUUCCCUGGGCCCCUGCCGGCGCGUCUUCCGGGGGGGGUGGGAGCGGCGGAGCGCGACGGCGUGAGAUAUCCUGUUCGCAGGGGGGCGCAGGCCCGGGACUUGCCGAGACGCCGCUAGGCUCUGCGAGGCGGCUAGGGAUCAUCGCAUGACCCUCCGCCGAGCGGGUCGUCGUGCGUGCAGUCGGCAAGUACCACGAGCAGACAUGUUGGGACCCGAAAGAUGGUGAACUAUGCCUGGCCAGGAUGAAGCCAGAGGAAACUCUGGUGGAGGUCCGUAGCGAUUCUGACGUGCAAAUCGAUCGUCUGAGCUGGGUAUAGGGGCGAAAGACUAAUCGAACCAUCUAGUAGCUGGUUCCCUCUGAAGUUUCCCUCAGGAUAGCUGGAACUCGCAGGAUGAAUUUCAUCCGGUAAAGCGAAUGAUUAGAGGUCUUGGGGACGAAACGUCCUCAACCUAUUCUCAAACUUUAAAUGGGUGAGAUGCCGAGCUUGCUUGAACGCUGAAGCUUCGGCGACUAAUCUGAGUAUCUAGUGGGCCAUUUUUGGUAAGCAGAACUGGCGCUGUGGGAUGAACCAAACGUCGAGUUAAGGGGCCUAAAUGAAUGCUCAUUCAGAUCCCAUCGAAAGGCGUUGGUUGCUAUAGACAGCAGGACGGUGGCCAUGGAAGUUGGAAUCCGCUAAGGAGUGUGUAACAACUCACCUGCCGAAGCAACUAGCCCUUAAAAUGGUAUGGCGCUCAAGCAUUCUCCCGAUACUCGACCGCCGGGGCACUGGCGGCCACGCACCACACCAGGCGAGGUCUCGAAGCCCCGGUGAGUAAGAGGGUCGCAGUGGUGAGCGCUGAAGGGAUCCGGCGCGAGCCGGCCUGGAGCCGCCACUGGUGCAGAUCUUGGUGGUAGUAGCAAAUACUCGAGAGAGACUCCCUUGAAGACCGAAGUGGAGAAGGGUUCCAUGUGAACAUCAGUUGGACAUGGGUUAGUCGCUCCUAAGCCCAAGGCUAAGGCCUGAUCCCACGCCAGCGGCAAUGGCCAAGCAAACGAGGAAGACGACGACGCCGACGCCGCCGAUGCCUAGGCCGUCAUCGGCGUGUACUCUUCCUGCGGAGUUUUUUGUUGCCCGGGAUCAGUGGCGAAAGGGAAUACGGUACUUAUUCCGUAACCAGGACUCGGAUACCAAGCAGGCGCAGUUUUCCCAGAAGGGAUUGCUGCUGCCCUGUGGAGGACCCCGGUAACGGGAACCAGCUCGCGUCCGCCGGCGGUGGUCCGGGAAAGAGUUUUCUUUUCUGUUUAAGGCGCCGUGACCCUAGAAGCCAUUCGCAGAGAGAAAGGGUGUUGGUAACACGGUUUGCCGUAGAGCGCCGCGGUUCUUGCGGCGUCCCGCGUGCCACCGCCGGUCCUUGAAACCGCGAGUGAGGU
rnacentral:rRNA from 1 species